CCUACGGGAGGCUGCAGUGGGGGAUAUUGCACAAUGGGGGAAACCCUGAUGCAGCGACGCCGCGUGGGUGAAGAAUCUCCUCGGCGCGUAAAGCCCUGUCAGCAGGGAAGAAAAUGACGGUACCUGAAGAAGACGCCCCGGCUAACUACGUGCCAGCAGCCGCGGUCAUACGUAGGGGGCAAGCGUUAUCCGGAGUUCCUGGGUGUAACGGGGGCGCAGACGGCGAUGCAAGCCAGGAGUGAAAGCCCGGGGCCCAACCCCGGGACUGCUCUUGGAACUGCGGGGCUAGAGUGCAGGAGGGGCAGGCGGAAUUCCUGGUGGAGCGGUGAAAUGCGUAGAUAUCAGGAGGAACACCGGUGGCGAAGGCGGCCUGCUGGACUGCAACUGACGUUGAGGCCCGAAAGCGUGGGGAGCAAACAGGAUUAGAUACCCCAGUAGUC
rnacentral:rRNA from 1 species